rnacentral:rRNA from 1 species
AUUGAACGCUGGCGGCAGGCCUAACACAUGCAAGUCGAGCGGAUGAAGGGAGCUUGCUCCUGGAUUCAGCGGCGGACGGGUGAGUAAUGCCUAGGAAUCUGCCUGGUAGUGGGGGAUAGCGUCCGGAAACGGGCGCUAAUACCGCAUACGUCCUGAGGGAGAAAGUGGGGGAUCUUCGGACCUCACGCUAUCAGAUGAGCCUAGGUCGGAUUAGCUAGUUGGUGGGGUAAAGGCCUACCAAGGCGACGAUCCGUAACUGGUCUGAGAGGAUGAUCAGCCACACUGGAACUGAGACACGGUCCAGACUCCUACGGGAGGCAGCAGUGGGGAAUAUUGGACAAUGGGCGAAAGCCUGAUCCAGCAAUGCCGCGUGUGUGAAGAAGGUCUUCGGAUUGUAAAGCACGUUAAGUGGGGAGGAAGGGCAGUAAGUUAAUACCUUGCUGUUUUGACGUUACCAACAGAAUAAGCACCGGCUAACUUCGUG